rnacentral:rRNA from 1 species
UUUAUAUGAGAGUUUGAUCCUGGCUCAGGAUGAACGCUGGCGGCGUGCCUAAUACAUGCAAGUCGAACGAGUUCUGAUUAUUGAAAGGUGCUUGCAUCUUGAUUUAAUUUUGAACGAGUGGCGGACGGGUGAGUAACACGUGGGUAACCUGCCCUUAAGUGGGGGAUAACAUUUGGAAACAGAUGCUAAUACCGCAUAAAUCCAAGAACCGCAUGGUUCUUGGCUGAAAGAUGGCGUAAGCUAUCGCUUUUGGAUGGACCCGCGGCGUAUUAGCUAGUUGGUGAGGUAACGGCUCACCAAGGCAAUGAUACGUAGCCGAACUGAGAGGUUGAUCGGCCACAUUGGGACUGAGACACGGCCCAAACUCCUACGGGAGGCAGCAGUAGGGAAUCUUCCACAAUGGACGCAAGUCUGAUGGAGCAACGCCGCGUGAGUGAAGAAGGCUUUCGGGUCGUAAAACUCUGUUGUUGGAGAAGAAUGGUCGGCAGAGUAACUGUUGUCGGCGUGACGGUAUCCAACCAGAAAGCCACGGCUAACUACGUGCCAGCAGCCGCGGUAAUACGUAGGUGGCAAGCGUUAUCCGGAUUUAUUGGGCGUAAAGCGAGCGCAGGCGGUUUUUUAAGUCUGAUGUGAAAGCCCUCGGCUUAACCGAGGAAGUGCAUCGGAAACUGGGAAACUUGAGUGCAGAAGAGGACAGUGGAACUCCAUGUGUAGCGGUGAAAUGCGUAGAUAUAUGGAAGAACACCAGUGGCGAAGGCGGCUGUCUGGUCUGUAACUGACGCUGAGGCUCGAAAGCAUGGGUAGCGAACAGGAUUAGAUACCCUGGUAGUCCAUGCCGUAAACGAUGAAUGCUAGGUGUUGGAGGGUUUCCGCCCUUCAGUGCCGCAGCUAACGCAUUAAGCAUUCCGCCUGGGGAGUACGACCGCAAGGUUGAAACUCAAAGGAAUUGACGGGGGCCCGCACAAGCGGUGGAGCAUGUGGUUUAAUUCGAAGCAACGCGAAGAACCUUACCAGGUCUUGACAUCUUUUGAUCACCUGAGAGAUCAGGUUUCCCCUUCGGGGGCAAAAUGACAGGUGGUGCAUGGUUGUCGUCAGCUCGUGUCGUGAGAUGUUGGGUUAAGUCCCGCAACGAGCGCAACCCUUAUG